rnacentral:rRNA from 1 species
UACGGAGGGUGCAAGCGUUAUCCGGAUUCACUGGGUUAAAGGGAGCGUAGGUGGGUUGGUAAGUCAGUGGUGAAAUCCCCGAGCUUAACUUGGGAACUGCCAUUGAUACUAUCAGUCUUGAAUACUGUGGAGGUUAGCGGAAUAUGUCAUGUAGCGGUGAAAUGCUUAGAUAUGACAUAGAACACCAAUUGCGAAGGCAGCUUACUACACAGUAAUUGACACUGAGGCACGAAAGCGUGGGGAUCAAACAGG